GUCAGGAUACCCAAGUGAUCUAAGGUGCUAGACUCGAGCUCAGCUUCCCUGUUUGGGGAUUCUCGUGGGCGUGGGUUUGAAUCCCACUUCUGACA
rnacentral:tRNA from 1 species